rnacentral:SRP_RNA from 1 species
GGCCGUGACUCGCGCAACGAGCACGUGCGAACCGGGUCAGGCCUUGAUCGGAGCAGCCCUAAGCAAUGCUGCUCGUGUGCCGCGAGCACCACGACCCGG